rnacentral:tRNA from 7 species
GGAGACGUGGCCGAGAGGUCGAAGGCACUCCCCUGCUAAGGGAGCAUGCGGGCAUAAACCUGCAUCAAGGGUUCAAAUCCCUUCGUCUCCGCCA